rnacentral:rRNA from 1 species
GUGGGGAAUUUUGGACAAUGGGCGCAAGCCUGAUCCAGCAAUGCCGCGUGCAGGAAGAAGGCCUUCGGGUUGUAAACUGCUUUUGUACGGAACGAAACGGUCCGGGUUAAUACCCUGGGCUAAUGACGGUACCGUAAGAAUAAGCACCGGCUAACUACGUGCCAGCAGCCGCGGUAAUACGUAGGGUGCGAGCGUUAAUCGGAAUUACUGGGCGUAAAGCGUGCGCAGGCGGUGCUGUAAGACAGGCGUGAAAUCCCCGGGCUCAACCUGGGAAUUGCGCUUGUGACUGCAGUGCUGGAGUGCGGCAGAGGGGGAUGGAAUUCCGCGUGUAGCAGUGAAAUGCGUAGAUAUGCGGAGGAACACCGAUGGCGAAGGCAAUCCCCUGGGCCUGCACUGACGCUCAUGCACGAAAGCGUGGGGAGCAAACAGGAUUAGAAACCCGAGUAGUCC